rnacentral:rRNA from 1 species
UGUUGAAAAAUUAGCGGAUGACCUGUGGCUGGGGGUGAAAGGCCAAUCAAACCGGGAGAUAGCUGGUUCUCCCCGAAAGCUAUUUAGGUAGCGCCUCGUGAAUUCAUCUCCGGGGGUAGAGCACUGUUUCGGCUAGGGGGCCAUCCCGGCUUACCAACCCGAUGCAAACUGCGAAUACCGGAGAAUGUUAUCACGGGAGACACACGGCGGGUGCUAACGUCCGUCGUGAAGAGGGAAACAACCCAGACCGCCAGCUAAGGUCCCAAAGUCAUGGUUAAGUGGGAAACGAUGUGGGAAGGCCCAGACAGCCAGGAUGUUGGCUUAGAAGCAGCCAUCAUUUAAAGAAAGCGUAAUAGCUCACUGGUCGAGUCGGCCUGCGCGGAAGAUGUAACGGGGCUAAACCAUGCACCGAAGCUGCGGCAGCGAACGUAUCACCCAAGACAACUUUACGGAGUUGACGAUUGACGGAGCGAAGCGACGUCAAAGCGUUCAUUAAAGUCGAGUUGGCUUAGGGAUACGUUCGUUGGGUAGGGGAGCGUUCUGUAAGCCUGUGAAGGUGUGUCGUGAGGCAUGCUGGAGGUAUCAGAAGUGCGAAUGCUGACAUAAGUAACGAUAAAGCGGGUGAAAAGCCCGCUCGCCGGAAGACCAAGGGUUCCUGUCCAACGUUAAUCGGGGCAGGGUGAGUCGACCCCUAAGGCGAGGCCGAAAGGCGUAGUCGAUGGGAAACGGGUUAAUAUUCCCGUACUUGGUGUUACUGCGAAGGGGGGACGGAGAAGGCUAUGUUGGCCGGGCGACGGUUGUCCCGGUUUAAGCGUGUAGGUGUGUGUUCCAGGUAAAUCCGGUUCACUUUAACACUGAGGCGUGACGACGAGGCACUACGGUGCUGAAGCAACAAAUGCCCUGCUUCCAGGAAAAGCCUCUAAGCAUCAGGUAACAUCAAAUCGUACCCCAAACCGACACAGGUGGUCAGGUAGAGAAUACCAAGGCGCUUGAGAGAACUCGGGUGAAGGAACUAGGCAAAAUGGUGCCGUAACUUCGGGAGAAGGCACGCUGACACGUAGGUGAAGUGAUUUACUCAUGGAGCUGAAGUCAGUCGAAGAUACCAGCUGGCUGCAACUGUUUAUUAAAAACACAGCACUGUGCAAACACGAAAGUGGACGUAUACGGUGUGACGCCUGCCCGGUGCCGGAAGGUUAAUUGAUGGGGUCAGCGCAAGCGAAGCUCCUGAUCGAAGCCCCGGUAAACGGCGGCCGUAACUAUAACGGUCCUAAGGUAGCGAAAUUCCUUGUCGGGUAAGUUCCGACCUGCACGAAUGGCGUAAUGAUGGCCAGGCUGUCUCCACCCGAGACUCAGUGAAAUUGAACUCGCUGUGAAGAUGCAGUGUACCCGCGGCAAGACGGAAAGACCCCGUGAACCUUUACUAUAGCUUGACACUGAACAUUGAGCCUUGAUGUGUAGGAUAGGUGGGAGGCUUUGAAGUGUGGACGCCAGUCUGCAUGGAGCCGACCUUGAAAUACCACCCUUUAAUGUUUGAUGUUCUAACGUGGACCCGUAAUCCGGGUUGCGGACAGUGUCUGGUGGGUAGUUUGACUGGGGCGGUCUCCUCCUAAAGAGUAACGGAGGAGCACGAAGGUUGGCUAAUCCUGGUCGGACAUCAGGAGGUUAGUGCAAUGGCAUAAGCCAGCUUGACUGCGAGCGUGACGGCGCGAGCAGGUGCGAAAGCAGGUCAUAGUGAUCCGGUGGUUCUGAAUGGAAGGGCCAUCGCUCAACGGAUAAAAGGUACUCCGGGGAUAACAGGCUGAUACCGCCCAAGAGUUCAUAUCGACGGCGGUGUUUGGCACCUCGAUGUCGGCUCAUCACAUCCUGGGGCUGAAGUAGGUCCCAAGGGUAUGGCUGUUCGCCAUUUAAAGUGGUACGCGAGCUGGGUUUAGAACGUCGUGAGACAGUUCGGUCCCUAUCUGCCGUGGGCGCUGGAGAACUGAGGGGGGCUGCUCCUAGUACGAGAGGACCGGAGUGGACGCAUCACUGGUGUUCGGGUUGUCAUGCCAAUGGCACUGCCCGGUAGCUAAAUGCGGAAGAGAUAAGUGCUGAAAGCAUCUAAGCACGAAACUUGCCCCGA